UACGGGGGGGGCAAGCGUUGUUCGGAAUUACUGGGCGUAAAGGGCUCGUAGGCGGCCAACUAAGUCAGACGUGAAAUCCCUCGGCUUAACCGGGGAACUGCGUCUGAUACUGGAUGGCUUGAGUUCGGGAGAGGGAUGCGGAAUUCCAGGUGUAGCGGUGAAAUGCGUAGAGAUGUGGAGGAACACCGAUGGCGAAGGCAGCCCCCUGGGUUAACACUGACGCUCAGGCACGAAAGCGUGGGGAGCAAACAGG
rnacentral:rRNA from 1 species